rnacentral:rRNA from 1 species
AACGAACGCUGGCGGCAUGCCUAACACAUGCAAGUCGAACGAGACCUUCGGGUCUAGUGGCGCACGGGUGCGUAACGCGUGGGAAUCUGCCCCUUGGUUCGGAAUAACAGCGAGAAAUUGCUGCUAAUACCGGAUAAUGACGUAAGUCCAAAGAUUUAUCGCCAAGGGAUGAGCCCGCGUAGGAUUAGCUAGUUGGUGUGGUAAAGGCGCACCAAGGCGACGAUCCUUAGCUGGUCUGAGAGGAUGAUCAGCCACACUGGGACUGAGACACGGCCCAGACUCCUACGGGAGGCAGCAGUGGGGAAUAUUGGACAAAUGGGCGGAAAGACCUGAUCCAGCAAUGCCGCCGUGAGUGAUGAAGGCC